rnacentral:lncRNA from 1 species
CAGGACGCAAGUCCAGGUGACUCAACAGCUCCAGAGCCAGCGACAGUAUUUCCUAUGGUACUCUUGAGAUGGCCCCCAACGAGAAGUGCCCCUAGCAGUCCAACUAUCCCGAGCAUCAUGCCAUCUCCCUUAUCCACGUUUCGGAAGUUGUUCCUAGCAGCAUCUGCACUGAUUGAUAAUGUGAUACCUCCGACGUUCUUGUGUCCCACCGGUUUUUGAGAAAGAACUGGAGCCUCAGAAUCAGAACUUGUCCUCGUUAUAUCACCUUCGGGCACUUCUUCAAAUUCUUCACCCUCUUCUUCCUCGUCCAGUUCUCGCAAAUUUAGGCCCUCGGAAUUUUCACCUAUCUCGGAUUCUCUUUGUAUGAGCGUCAAGAGCAUCUCAACCACUCCAUUUUUCAUCAGCAAAUCCGCGAAGGUCGCAGCACGAGCAGCAUUUGGCUGUACAACAAGUCUAUACAAUAAAUGCAAAACUCGCGCGACCUGCCAAGCACAAACACGCAGGUAAAUUCGCAAGACAAAGCUAAUGACGAAAAUGUUUUUACCUGGUUGGGCUGUGGGCAGUCAAGAACAAAUUGUACCAAGCAGCGAACAUCAGACGCUGCAAUAGGUCCCUGAGCCGAUCCAGUUAAAAGCUCCACAAUCACCAGAAGCUCGUCGACGAGAGCAUUGAUUUCUCCCAAAGGCCUAGUAUUUUUGCCACCCGCAAAUGAAUGCACCGAGUGCGGCUCCGGAACAAUCCAGUAACAAGAUCUACAACCGUCCAGCAGCAUUUGAACUGCAUUUGCAGCUCUCAUUGUCUUCUCCUCGGUGAAAACCAUAUCUGCAAGUGAUGAUAGCAGCUUCUUUUGCAAGCCGUAACUGCACCUGCUCCAAAGCUUCAGAUCGAGAAGCAAGCUACUGUAUAGCUGCACUUCCAAGGUAGCAUUCCCCUUAGGUGCCUGACAAAGGGACACCACGGCGGCCACAAGCUCUUCGUCUCUUUCCUGUCCGUCCACUGACUUCGAAAUUGAUGAGAUAACCAGAAGGUGGCCCAAAAGAUGUGCAAGUAGUUCUGGUGCGUGGCCUCUUGUCAUCUCGUCCGCGUUGCCUGGGUACUUGAGAGCAGUAGCCAAUAUACGCAAGAUCGGCCCCGAUAGAAAUGAUGAUCUUACGGAGAGAGUGAUAUCACCAGCAUUUGGCUGCAACGUUUCCUUGUUGACGCUUCCAACCACAAGGGGGAGUAGCGCUAGAGGACCUCCUUCACCCAUCGCCCAGACAGCUUCCAUGGGCUUCACGCGAGAAGCAACGUGGACAUGGCCAAGAACCUCAGCCGGCCUUCUGUGCAAACCUGGAGCAAAAAAUCAUUAGUAAACUUGUCAGCAAGCAAAACUAACUACGAACCUGACGAUCCCGCAGGAGAAAUAUCUAUGCACGACCUCCCGAUCAGCAGCUGAGGAUGGUACAGUAAAUGAAUCUUCGGCCCGAUUUCAAUGUCCAGUGCUACACUUUCUUCCGCCAAGGCCCUCGAUUCCUCGGAUAUAGCAAGCCAAGGUAGUCCAGCACCAUUCCCGAAUGUAGGAACGACAUCACCACCCCUUGCUGCCAACCGGUUCAUCUUGUCCUGACCAAUUGGUUCUUUGAAAAUGUAGAUCGGUCCGACCUCCGCAAACAAAGGACACUGACGCCGCCUUCUCUGAAGUCCAGCCAUUGCCGGUGGAGGAUUUGUGCCGAUGCAGCAAAACGCUAGCGGCUUGGACACGCGCGGAAAAUCAAAAGGACGUGCUUCGUAGAGCCUGCCGUCAACGUAGAGCUUCACUUCGCUGUCUCCCUUUCCAAUCAGACUCUGUUUGAAGAUAUGCUCCAGGCCCACGAAGUACCACCUCCGCGGCUUGAACGCAUAGGUGAAGUGAAGAGACGACUUCUUUCCUUUGGCCACGGCACUCUCGACCACGAGAAACUGCCCGUGGAAGUACGCUUCAACUCCCUGGUUGUCUGCUGACAGAAAGCUGAAAAGCCGAGGCAUAUGUGCAGUUCCUUCCCCCGCUAGAGCACUUGCUGCGGCUGCUGCUGACAUCGCUGACGACUUCCCCGUCUUCGCGGCCGCAGCGACAGCAAUGGCAGCAGCAGUCGUCGCAGUGUUGAGUGUGUCCGCAAAACUUUCGAUAUAAAGCCAGGUAGCAAACGCAUAACCGUUGCCAAAUGGCCACUUGCUGUCUCCAGGGCCGAGUAAUCCAGAACUCUCUCCAUCGAACUCGAAAGUGUAGGCAGGACCUCUCGUUUCUUCUCCCGCCAUUGUCUUCUCCAAUGCGAGAACAAGAUCAAGCGACUGUCCAGUCUCCGUUACCGUGAAGAGCCAGUGACGGAGGUCCACUACUGUCAAACAGUGAGAUCCCAGUGCCUGGAUAGCAUCUAGCAAAGGACUAGCAUCCCACUCGUGACCUUGUUCUUCAGCAGCUGCCUUUCGAGCGAAAAGUAUUCGUGCCGCUUCUAGGAGAACUCUGAGCAGCCCGGCCGCCGAACACAUCGCUCUGUUCCGCGUGCAUGCCUGAAGAGUCAUAGUGAUGCCUUUGGCGAUUCUCGUUCUCGGCGACACGAAAAUCCCAGUAUCUCCCUCUGACGAAAGCCAAGGAAUAAGCUCUCCGGCCACGAUCGCAGCCCCGGCACUCAGCAUCAUCUUUGGCGCAGCAGUGUCGUCCAGAGCUUCAAUGCCACCCAUCUUUGCAAGAAGAAUCUCCACCACCAGCCUCGCACGAGUAUCAUUGUCAACUUUGCCGUCGCCACCUUCUAUACUCUCUUCACCAGCCACCACCCUCUUGAGCUUGUGCAAGCUUUUCUGGUCGGCGUCGGCGCCCUGGAUCGCCGAAUCAAUGAGGCGCAUGAGCUCUGGAGACGCGUCGGGAAGAACAGCCUUUCCCCGCGAGUGGAGAGGAGACCCCAGCGACGAGCUCUUGGGACUGGCAUUCCCCGAGUUUAAAACGGUGAUGCUACUCACCGAGUCACGGGCCGAGGAAAAACCACUGGGAGUACCGACGUUGUCGUUCAAGCUCACCUCGUCAAACUGAUCCUCGAGCUUCACCACCGACGAGGACCCAGGCGAAUUCCCUGCGGUGGACUCAUCAACCUCUUCUAUCUCCCCGCCGCCAUCUUCUCUUCUCGACGACAUAACUAGAUCGUGGAACCCAUUCCCGUCGAUCUUCCCCUCUACAAUGCCGCCACUCCUAUCGAACAGAUUUACAUUGUCGAAAUCUUCCCCUGGCAAUUCCUCUGCAUGCCCGCCAUCGCCAGAUCUAGCGCGCAGCUCGACCGCCGCCGGAUUCCGCUCCAAUUUCGAUCCAUCGCUGUGCUCCAAAUAACUGGCGCCUCUAUCUACAUCGUCCCCCGCAUCUCGAAAGUCCAGAUCGCCGCUCGGAUCGCGGCCUUCCAUUCCCUGGCGCUGACGAAUCCGGGGGAGGGAAAGAAGCUAUACACCCGAUGCGUGCCAGAUCUAAGCUUGACGAAGAAAUUCCUCCCCUCCUCCGCGGGGCGAAUCAAUCCGGAAUUUAUUUUCUUUACCUCCUCCAGCAGCUGGACGCGCCCGGUCGCGCGCGCAUCCCCAGCGCCCUCCAAAUGCGACUCAGCUCAUCCCUCCCAUAAACCCUAACCCUAGGCCAAGCUCGUGGUAACGCGGUGUGGCCAUACAUUCCCUCUUGUACGGAACACAUGCACACAAAAGAAGAGCUCUGAGCCUCGCUAGGGUUUAACCAAGAAAGCAUAUUCUAAGGCGUGACGAAUAUUCCAUCUGGGCAACAAAGGGUUGAAAAGAAUGGGAAAUUUUAGGGCAAGGGAGGGCGAGCCAUGGAGGCUGCCAGCGGCGACGAUGUCGCGGUGUACGAGCGCGACGUCUCCGCCUCGUCGACGGUGCGAUUCCCGGCGCGGCGGCCUCAAUCAGCGGAGCUAAAGAUGAGCUCAGGCAGUGACGAGAACGCCAGUAGCGCCACCAAGCUAUGGCAGGUCAGAUCACUCCUCUUUCUCUCCUCUUUCUCUCGUAGCUAGGCCAGCCAGUGGCACUGCGGCAUUCAUUCAUCCGUCCAUCCUCGGAUUCCUCCGAAAAUCCGUUGGAAGAGAGAAAUUUCUCGCCAGUCCUCUGUUCUUCGCGUGUGAGAGGAGUAAGUAGUACGAACGAGAGGCUUUCUCGAUGCUGGAGCCCGUACCUCCAUCAUCCAAGAGAGAAAACUAAGCAUCAGUACUGUGCGUCGAGAGCAUGAGAGCUAUCAUCUCUCACAUAAUCCUUUGAGAGCAAUCAUCCCUCCCAUAAUCCAUUCUCGAGUCGCGUGAGCGUCCCCAUAGAAUUCUUUCGUCCCAUACUUCUCGCGCUUAGAUCUUUCCUUUUUGUUCUCGAUCUCUCUCUUCUCACAGGUUUAUCUUUUGGGAGGAGUUAUGGUUGGGCGGUGGGCUUGGGCUCGCUGGAAGGAGAGGAGCUCCAGAGGCCUCGGCGGGCAUGCUUGAAUCAAUCGGUUAAAACCCUGCGUCCUGGAUGAGAGGCAAGCGCUUUUUAUUCUAGACGCCUUCUAGACAGACAGCGUAGCUGGCCACUACGAUCAUUCUCGUUUGAUACGCGAGUCUUAAAUCUACUUUGUGGUAAUUAACAUGGAUCUUCCAUAUGAAUACGAGGAUCAUCACCACCUUUCAUCCACAAAGCUUACAAUGUUUUACCAGUAAGUUUAACAUUGGGAGUGGUAAAAUCAUCAAGACAAGACAAUGUAGCUGUGGGGGAGUGCUGGAAAAAUCCAAUCGUGUCAGCUUUUUCUAUGUUCGUUGCUCGUGAUUGUCGACUUCGCACAGGUUCUUUCUAUGUUUCGCGGAUGAUGAUUGGACUGGGCUGGACGAUUGACAUCAUAGAUUGUUGCGAAGAACUUUUGGAGAGAAAAGAUCUGCGAGACGACAAGAUGACAAAUGUAAGAGUGCCCAGCUUCGUACACAAGAAAAAUCCAAUAAUGCGGUAUCCUUUGCCAGGGACAACUCGAAUCACGCUCCACUUUGGAUCAUCAUAUCGAGAUUCUCACUCGUAACAGUUUGUUCCGCGAGGGAUUCGAAGAUUCCGACUUCUUUUGCAAAAACAAUAGCUC